GCCUCUGUAGCUUAGCCUGGUAGAGCGUCAGUUUCAUGAGCUGAAAGUCGGGUGUUCAAAUCACCUCAGAGGCA
rnacentral:tRNA from 1 species